AGGACGAACGCUGGCGGCGUGCUUAACACAUGCAAGUCGAACGAUGAACCACUUCGGUGGGGAUUAGUGGCGAACGGGUGAGUAACACGUGGGCAAUCUGCCCUUCACUCUGGGACAAGCCCUGGAAACGGGGUCUAAUACCGGAUACCACUCUCACGGGCAUCUGUGGGGGUUGAAAGCUCCGGCGGUGAAGGAUGAGCCCGCGGCCUAUCAGCUUGUGGUGAGGUAAUGGCUCACCAAGGCGACGACGGGUA
rnacentral:rRNA from 1 species